UACGUAGGGACCGAGCGUUGUCCGGAUUCAUUGGGCGUAAAGAGCUCGUAGGCGGCUGUUCAAGUCGAACGUGAAAACUCGGAGCUCAACUCCGAGCCUGCGUUCGAUACUGGACGGCUAGAGUCUGGUAGGGGGAUCUGGAAUUCCUGGUGUAGCGGUGGAAUGCGCAGAUAUCAGGAGGAACACCGAUGGCGAAGGCAGCUCGCUGGGACGGUACUGACGCUGAGACGCGAAAGCGUGGGGAGCGAACAGG
rnacentral:rRNA from 1 species